UUCGUGUGUGACAACGUGAGACACAAAGAUCCGCGUGUUUUGUUUCCACACCCGCAGAUUCAUUCCCACGCCGCUUCCCUCUUCCCCAGACUGCCUCGUUUCUCGUCCUGAUCAUGCUUCCUCCGGGCCCUGCUGGACCACGGUCAUUGCUCAGGAGUCCGGGUAUCUUCAUCCCCCCGCACACUUGCCCCUGCCUUCCAGGUGAACCACCAGGUGCAGGGAGGGACCGCAGCAGAAGAGAAGACACAGCCCCUCUGACCUGGAAGCCCCAAGGACUCUCACCUGCAGGCCAAGUCCUGCUCAGGACAAGGACACCGACCGUCUCAGGUUAGUCUGCUGCUCCAGUGAAGAUCCCCCUGUCCAGGGCUGGUCCCUCGGGCCUACAAGCAGGCCUUCACAUCCCCGUCGGCUUCUGCAUUGAUUCUCUGCCUCACUUUGAAGCAGACUUCUUCGGAAGAGUUCUACACCUUCUUCACUUCCUUGGCUCUUGUUCCCUCCUCAGUCCACUCCAGUCAAGCUUCUCCCACCUCCUUCUAUGAUCUGCUCACAUCAAGGUCAUAGAGGACCAGUCUGUCCAAAGUCACGACCAGCUCCAGGCAUCACUGUCCUGGGUUCUCUGCAGAACUGAACAUGGUCACUUCCUCACUCCUGAGGCACGUCGUCUCUUACAGCUGCUUCCCCUGGUCUUCUGUCUACACCCACCCCCAUCCCGGCCAUCCCCGAGGCUUCUUUACUGGCUCCAAGGACUUCUCAAUGCCAAAAGACCCCAGGGCCCUAUCCUCUGCUGCGUCUCUUGUCUAGCUGCACAUGCUCCGUGGAUGAUCUCAUCUGUGUGGAGGUUCCUCAAGGAGUCAAAAAUAGACCUGCCCUAUGACCCAGCAAUUGCACUGCUGGGGAUUUACCCCAAAGAUACAGAUGCAAUGAAACACCGG